CAGGGGUGAGGGGAGGUUGCCAGGUUAUCGUACUCAUGGAGGUUGCCAGAUUAUCGUACUCAGGGAGGUUGCCAGAUUAUCGUACUCAGGGAGGUUGCCAGAUUAUCGUACUCAGGGAGGUUGCCAGAUUAUCGUACUCAGGGAGGUUGCCAGAUUAUCGUACUCAGGGAGGUUGCCAGAUUAUCGUACUCAGGGAGGUUGCCAGAUUAUCGUACUCAGGGAGGUUGCCAGAUUAUCGUACUCAGGGAGGUUGCCAGAUUAUCGUACUCAGGGAGGUUGCCAGAUUAUCGUACUCAGGGAGGUUGCCAGAUUAUCGUACUCAGGGAGGUUGCCAGAUUAUCGUACUCAGGGAGGUUGCCAGAUUAUCGUACUCAGGGAGGUUGCCAGAUUAUCGUACUCAGGGAGGUUGCCAGAUUAUCGUACUCAGGGAGGUUGCCAGAUUAUCGUACUCAGGGAGGUUGCCAGAUUAUCGUACUCAGGGAGGUUGCCAGAUUAUCGUACUCAGGGAGGUUGCCAGAUUAUCGUACUUAGGGAGGUUGCCAUAUUAUCGUACUCAGAGCCGCUUUCGUCAGUUUCUGGCCCAUAACUAUUGCCAAGAAACCCAAUAAUUAACCGUUUAAACGAUAAUCAUAUAUAAAGUUAGUUAUUUGGGUGAUGAAAGCAGUUUUGGGGUCGGAAAUCGGCAAACAUGAGGCAGAGUACGACAAUCUGGCAACGUUGG